rnacentral:rRNA from 1 species
UACGUAGGGCGCAAGCGUUGUCCGGAAUUAUUGGGCGUAAAGAGCUCGUAGGCGGUCUGUCGCGUCCGUUGUGAAAACUCGAGGCUCAACCUCGGGCUUGCAGUGGAUACGGGCAGACUAGAGUGCGGUAGGGGAGACUGGAAUUCCUGGUGUAGCGGUGGAAUGCGCAGAUAUCAGGAGGAACACCGAUGGCGAAAAGCGACUUCUGGGACAUUCCUGACGCUGAGGUUCGAAAGCUCGGGGAGCAAACAGG